rnacentral:rRNA from 1 species
GGUUAAGCGACUAAGCGUACACGGUGGAUGCCCUGGCAGUCAGAGGCGAUGAAGGACGUGCUAAUCUGCGAAAAGCGUCGGUAAGGUGAUAUGAACCGUUACAGCCGGCGAUGUCCGAAUGGGGAAACCCAGUGCAAUUCGUUGCACUAUCGUUAACUGAAUACAUAGGUUAACGAGGCGAACCGGGGGAACUGAAACAUCUAAGUACCCCGAGGAAAAGAAAUCAACCGAGAUUCCCCCAGUAGCGGCGAGCGAACGGGGAGCAGCCCGGAGUCUGAAUCAGCUUGUGUGUUAGUGGAAGCGUCUGGAAAGUCGCAGGGUACAGGGUGAUACUCCCGUACACUAAAACAUACAGGUUGUGAACUCGAAGAGUAGGGCGGGACACGUGGUAUCCUGUCUGAAUAUGGGGGGACCAUCCUCCAAGGCUAAAUACUCCUGACUGACCGAUAGUGAACCAGUACCGUGAGGGAAAGGCGAAAAGAACCCCGGCGAGGGGAGUGAAAAAGAACCUGAAACCGUGUACGUACAAGCAGUAGGAGCCCACUUGUUGGGUGACUGCGUACCUUUUGUAUAAUGGGUCAGCGACUUAUAUUCUGUAGCAAGGUUAACCGUAUAGGGGAGCCGCAGGGAAACCGAGUCUUAACUGGGCGUUAAGUUGCAGGGUAUAGACCCGAAACCCGGUGAUCUAGCCAUGGGCAGGUUGAAGGUUGGGUAACACUAACUGGAGGACCGAACCGACUAAUGUUGAAAAAUUAGCGGAUGACUUGUGGCUGGGGGUGAAAGGCCAAUCAAACCGGGAGAUAGCUGGUUCUCCCCGAAAGCUAUUUAGGUAGCGCCUCGUGAACUCAUCUUCGGGGGUAGAGCACUGUUUCGGCUAGGGGGUCAUCCCGACUUACCAACCCGAUGCAAACUACGAAUACCGAAGAAUGUUAUCACGGGAGACACACGGCGGGUGCUAACGUCCGUCGUGAAGAGGGAAACAACCCAGACCGCCAGCUAAGGUCCCAAAGUCAUGGUUAAGUGGGAAACGAUGUGGGAAGGCCCAGACAGCCAGGAUGUUGGCUUAGAAGCAGCCAUCAUUUAAAGAAAGCGUAAUAGCUCACUGGUCGAGUCGGCCUGCGCGGAAGAUGUAACGGGGCUAAACCAUGCACCGAAGCUGCGGCAGCGACACUAUGUGUUGUUGGGUAGGGGAGCGUUCUGUAAGCCGUUGAAGGUGGCCUGUGAGGGUUGCUGGAGGUAUCAGAAGUGCGAAUGCUGACAUAAGUAACGAUAAUGCGGGUGAAAAACCCGCACGCCGGAAGACCAAGGGUUCCUGUCCAACGUUAAUCGGGGCAGGGUGAGUCGACCCCUAAGGCGAGGCCGAAAGGCGUAGUCGAUGGGAAACAGGUUAAUAUUCCUGUACUCGGUGUUACUGCGAAGGGGGGACGGAGAAGGCUAUGUUGGCCGGGCGACGGUUGUCCCGGUUUAAGCAUGUAGGCGGAUGUUCCAGGUAAAUCCGGAACGUUAUCAACGCUGAGGUGUGAUGACGAGGCACUACGGUGCUGAAGUGACAAAUGCCCUGCUUCCAGGAAAAGCCUCUAAGCAUCAGGUAACAUCAAAUCGUACCCCAAACCGACACAGGUGGUCAGGUAGAGAAUACCAAGGCGCUUGAGAGAACUCGGGUGAAGGAACUAGGCAAAAUGGUGCCGUAACUUCGGGAGAAGGCACGCUGAUGGUAGGUGAAGCGACUUGCUCGUGGAGCUGAAAUCAGUCGAAGAUACCAGCUGGCUGCAACUGUUUAUUAAAAACACAGCACUGUGCAAACACGAAAGUGGACGUAUACGGUGUGACGCCUGCCCGGUGCCGGAAGGUUAAUUGAUGGGGUUAUCCUCGCGGAGAAGCUCUUGAUCGAAGCCCCGGUAAACGGCGGCCGUAACUAUAACGGUCCUAAGGUAGCGAAAUUCCUUGUCGGGUAAGUUCCGACCUGCACGAAUGGCGUAAUGAUGGCCAGGCUGUCUCCACCCGAGACUCAGUGAAAUUGAACUCGCUGUGAAGAUGCAGUGUACCCGCGGCAAGACGGAAAGACCCCGUGAACCUUUACUAUAGCUUGACACUGAACACUGGUCCUUGAUGUGUAGGAUAGGUGGGAGGCUUUGAAGUGUGGACGCCAGUCUGCAUGGAGCCAUCCUUGAAAUACCACCCUUUAAUGGCUGGUGUUCUAACGUGGGCCCGUAAUCCGGGUUGCGGACAGUGUCUGGUGGGUAGUUUGACUGGGGCGGUCUCCUCCUAAAGAGUAACGGAGGAGCACGAAGGUCAGCUAAUCCUGGUCGGACAUCAGGAGGUUAGUGCAAUGGCAUAAGCUGGCUUGACUGCGAGCGUGACGGCGCGAGCAGGUGCGAAAGCAGGUCAUAGUGAUCCGGUGGUUCUGAAUGGAAGGGCCAUCGCUCAACGGAUAAAAGGUACUCCGGGGAUAACAGGCUGAUACCGCCCAAGAGUUCAUAUCGACGGCGGUGUUUGGCACCUCGAUGUCGGCUCAUCACAUCCUGGGGCUGAAGUAGGUCCCAAGGGUAUGGCUGUUCGCCAUUUAAAGUGGUACGCGAGCUGGGUUUAGAACGUCGUGAGACAGUUCGGUCCCUAUCUGCCGUGGGCGCUGGAGAAUUGAGGGGGGCUGCUCCUAGUACGAGAGGACCGGAGUGGACGCAUCACUGGUGUUCGGGUUGUCAUGCCAAUGGCAUUGCCCGGUAGCUAAAUGCGGAAGAGAUAAGUGCUGAAAGCAUCUAAGCACGAAACUUGCCCCGAGAUGAGUUCUCCCUGACUCCUUGAGAGUCCUGAAGGAACGUUGAAGACGACGACGUUGAUAGGCCGGGUGUGUAAGCGCAGCGAUGCGUUGAGCUAACCGGUACUAAUGAACCGUGAGGCUUAACCUU